rnacentral:rRNA from 1 species
GACGAACGCUGGCGGCGUGCUUAACACAUGCAAGUCGAACGGUGAAGCGCCUUCCUUUUUGGUGGGUGUGGAUGAGUGGCGAACGGGUGAGUAACACGUGAGUAACCUGCCCCCUUCUUCUGGAUAACCGCAUGAAAGUGUGGCUAAUACGGGAUAUUCUGGGUCUGUCGCAUGAUGGGUCUGGGAAAGAUAUUGUUCCGGUGGGGGAUGGGCUCGCGGCCUAUCAGCUUGUUGGUGGGGUGAUGGCCUACCAAGGCGGUGACGGGUAGCCGGCCUGAGAGGGUGGACGGUCACACUGGGACUGAGACACGGCCCAGACUCCUACGGGAGGCAGCAGUGGGGAAUAUUGCACAAUGGGCGCAAGCCUGAUGCAGCGACGCCGCGUGAGGGAUGGAGGCCUUCGGGUUGUGAACCUCUUUCGCCAGUGAAGCAGGCCUGCCUCGUUUGUGGGUGGGUUGACGGUAGCUGGAUAAGAAGCGCCGGCUAACUACGUG